CGCGUAGGCGGCUCGACAAGUCCCGCGUGAAAGCCCCCGGCUCAACUGGGGAACUGCGCGGGAAACUGUCGGACUUGAGUUCGGGAGAGGGAAGCGGAAUUCCGGGUGUAGCGGUGAAAUGCGUAGAUAUCCGGAGGAACACCGGUGGCGAAGGCGGCUUCCUGGACCGACACUGACGCUGAGGCGCGAAAGCUAGGGGAGCAAAACGG
rnacentral:rRNA from 1 species